GAGAAACAGCACUCUCCUUAGCUUCGCCACAGAGCAAUCAGUCAUUGCUACACGGCUGAUCCUCCAAUGCUGCAGUAACCACAGAAACCACACAGAGCUUGGACUGAGCACGUGGUUACGGACACAAUCAUCAUUUUUAACACAGAGAGAUGAAGUCACUCAAUCUUCUCUCGGAUGAAAAUAAAAUAUUGAAAUACAACUUUGGAAAUAAACGUUCUUCCUCCCAAUGGAGAAACGUGUGCUGUGAAGACAAGACUCCAUUUUAAGUCCCUGAGUAAGGGACAAGAAGACCAAUGGGACGGAUUCCUGAGAAGCCAUUAAAAAUUGGAGUGCUCCAACCUCAGAGAAGAGGUUGCUGUGGAAUGCAAUGCAAAGCUGGUUUGGUUGCUAGUUGGGAGAGACCUACUCUAGGUAUGAGGACUCUGCAGACUGAAGAAACCAACAGUGGUUUCAACUGAGUUCCAACUGGAGAGUCAUUUGGACAGAUGUUCUGAAUUACAGGAGUUAAUGUAUCAUCAAGCUGUUUCUCAUAUAGCACCUACGUUGCUCUCCAGGUGAGCAGCAAGUCUCCAGGGAAAGCUUCACCAUGAGCUAACAUCUGCUGCCAAUCUUCCUCUUCCCCCUCCCCCCCCCCCCAAAGCCCCAGUGCAUGGUUGUAUUUCCUAGUUGUAAGUCCUUCUAGUUCUUCUAAGUGAGCCACUGCCAUAGCACGGCAACUGACAGAUGGGUGGUGGUGUUCUGUGCCCAGCAAAUGAAACCAGGCUGCCGAAGUGGUGAGGGUGCUGAUCUUUAACCAUGGAGCCAUCAGGGCUGGCUCAAGAGUCUGAUAGUUUAAAGUUCUGAUAACCACCCUUGCCAUUCUUCAGCUCCAGAAUCGUUCCACUUGUCAUUCUAGCUUGGUGUUUCUCAAUUGAGGGUAAUUUUUCCCCUUGGGGACAUUUGGCAAUGUCUGGAGACAUUUUGGAUUCUCAAAACUGGUAGAGGUGGGGUACUACUGGUAUAUAGUGUGUAGAAGCCCGUGUUACUGCUAAACAUCCUACAAUGCACAGGACAGCUCCUCCAUAAAGAAAUGAUCUAGUCCAAAAUGUCAGUAGUGCCAUGGUCCUAUCUUGUUGCCAUGUACAAACCCUAGUGUCUCUCUUCAAUUUCUAUCCAAUAUGUCAGGGAUCCAAUAUGUCAACCACUAUCCUUGCUGUUGUUUAUUGUGGAGAAUCCUUGCUGCAUUACAAAUAUUCCCUGAUGUCUUAUUGGGAUGAAUCAAUGGAGCAAAAUGUCCUCCAUGCCUAUCCACUGGUAAACAUCUAUUCCUCUUUAAAGCUCUGAAGUGUCACUUUCAAUAUACAGACUUCCUGACAACCCCUAGGAAGAAGUGACCAUCCUUUACUUAGCAGCCAAACCAUAACCUUUACAUAAUGCUAGCGUAAGAACUAUAAUACUUUCACUGCCAUUAUUGGUUACAAGACUCUCUCCUUUACAGCCUCCUCACUUGAUCCUCAUUGGAACUCAGAGACCAUGUCUGAUUAUUUUUAGUUUCCCAAGUCCCAAGCACAGUACCUGGCCCUUAGUAAGAACUCAGUACAAGUGUCUGAAAUAGAGGCAUUUUCAGGGAGUAAUCUGGUUCCAGCAGUUGCUGUACCUUCAGCUACUCUAAUUUUCACUGUAAAUGUGACUUUCUCCUCCAGUGUCCAAAUAGGAUAGAAGCCAAGCAAACCACAUGGUUCAUCCCUUUGCCCCCAGUCUCCCAGCCCACUGCGAAAGUUCAUAGUCAGAGGACGUUACUCCAAUGUCCUCAAACCAACAAUCUGAAGUCCUGGUAAUGGUGGAAAAGGAUGAUAAAAAUAGUCUGCUUAAAAAUCCAGCACUUUUGCACAGAACAAGGAGAUGCAAACAGCCUCUGGCACCUUCCUGUGAGUAACAGAAGUUUCUAUUUUAAAAGAAAGGCAGUCAAAUAAGAAGCAACUUUAUCACAAUGCUGCUUUCCCAGAUUUCUUGGCCAAGGCAAUACAUCAGCCUGUAUCAGGCUCUUGGCGUUCCCUGACGGAUCUGGCUCCAGAGAUGAUUCAGAGCUGCCAUGUGAGGAACGGAGCCUUUCACACGGACUGGCCCCUUUAAAAAAAUAAAAGAUGCAGUCCAGUAAAGGCCCAGCUGUGUCAAUCCUGUGUGCAGCACUCAACUUCUCUCCCUGGAAAAUAACGGGAUCUUCCAAGGAUGCUCUUAUCUUUGAUUAUCAAGGACCACCUGAAGCAGAGGAUAGCGAAUACGUUUCCUGAGGCCACGGGGCAAGCUGUUGGUGGUCUCAGUUUGCUCCAUCAAGCCCAUCUCCAAGAUUCAUGCUUGAACUGUUCCAUCCUGAUGGUCUCAUAGAGGAACAGGACACUUGAGUAUGAAAUAACAAAAUACAUCUUUUUAAUAAAGCUAAGCAAUCUCAGUCACAAAGCUUAUCAUGAUGCUAAAACAUAGUGGUAGAAACAAGGACAGGGAGAAGAGCCACAAGGAAAAGUUGGACUUGUAAGGGCUCCCAAAAGGAAGUGGUACCACUUGAGAACAGUCCUAUAAAGAAUACAUACCUAUCACAAAAGGAUGCCCAAGUCACCCACUCCACACCAAUUUCCAUGUGUGGGUCUGCUGUAACCAGAGAGGGUCACAGAUAUUCAAUUCUGUAAAAAGCAGCUUUUAAAAAUAAAAUUCAAUUCUUGGCAUGUGUUGCAAUACUUCCUCUGUUCCAAACUUAAUACUGAAGCCACCCACAGUACUGCUGUCUUAGCCAAAUACAGUAAGGGAAACAAG
rnacentral:lncRNA from 1 species